UGAUUGAACAUGAAAGGGCAGAAAGUACGAUGAGGCAAGUCCACCGAUUAAAUCCCUUAGAGAGUGUGAAAUCCAAUAGGAAUUUGCUAAGUGAAUUAAAUGAAACUUUAAUAGUGGUGAAGCGAAGUGCGUUCUUCACAAUAAUACAACAUAAAUUUUGUUUUUAAGCAAAGAGAGGAGCUAUGUUUAUUUUUUUAAUGAUAUUUGAUAUACUGUAGUAAGGAACAAGGAACUUUGUUGUAGUUAACACAGCCUAUGUGGCAAAUAUUGAAAGUGUAACAUUAUGUUAGAUGCUGUGUUUAGUUUAAUUGCUGUGGGUGUUCUUUGGGGAGCCACAAAUCCUUUUAUCAAGAAAGGGAGUGCUGGAGUCGAAAAUGUAUCAGCUCCCCAUUCUUCAUUGCAGUUACUGUAUGAGAUUCAAUACCUUGUGUGCCGAUGGCAGUACUUGUUGCCAUUCAUCUUAAACCAGUUUGGAUCUGUGCUGUAUUAUAUCACAUUAAGAACUUCAGAUCUUACACUAGCUGUACCUGUUGCAAAUUCAUUAACAUUUGUUGCCACUGCAUUGUGUGGCUGGGCUGUGGGUGAAGAACUGCCUCACAGAAAUACAUAUUUUGGAAUAUUGCUUGUCCUGUCUGGAAUUUCACUCUGCUUCCUCAGCAAAACAUGAAAUUGUGGAACACUUGUUGGCAACUAUUAACAACACUGGUUCACACUUAUACAGUAAAAUACGAGUCACAGAUGCUCUGUUACAGGCUAUAAGGAAGAAACAUCAGUCCAAGUGGCCAGAGGAUGGUGCUGUGCUGAGUUAGAAGUCAGCACUACUUCAACCUUAGGCAGCACCUGUUGGAAAGUGCUUAUUAUAUGCUUUUAUGUGUGAUAUACCACCUUACUUUGAACUUACCCUUCCUACAGUCAGUACUAAACCAGUUUUGGCUCAACUCAGAUUUGCUUGACCAGACAAUUCUGUACAACCCAGUGAUGCUCAAGCACCAUGUAUGCGUUAGUAGUCAGUGAUUAAUUUUCUUUCAGUUUCACAAAAGGCAUGUGGUCUUCUGAACAUGAAACAGAAAUUUUACAUUUGAGAAGUCGGUGAAGAUGUUAUGAUGUAUCCUUCCUAGAGAAGAAGUCAACUGUUUGACUGUAUCAUUGCGAUUAUGAGAAUGUAGCAACAUGCUACAUAUAUUAGGCUUAAUUGUCAUGUAUUGAUUUAUAUUUUGGAAAUUAAUAUUUCAAAUGUCAAUGACAUAAGGAAGCACUCACUAUGCAGUACUGCUGCAGAUUGUUUAAUUAUCAUUCAGCAUUGUCGAGAAUACUUCUUAUAUUAAAACUUUUAAUCAUAGUAUCCAGUAAGAAUGAAAGGGUGGAAAUACUCCUUAUCUAUGGGGAAUGUGGAAAAAAUAGAUCACUGCAGCAGCUGUACACAGUGAGAUAUCUUGAGAAGACUCUGUGGUCUAGUGGUAAGAGUUCCUGACUACAGAUCCAGAGUUUCCAGGUUCAAUUCCCAGCGGUACCAGAUU